rnacentral:lncRNA from 1 species
AUCUCAGGUCACACACAUCACAUCUUGUCUAUGGAAUGCCAGCUGUAGGUUUUUAGGCUCCUCUCAGUUUACACAGACAUUUUAUAAAAACAGAAAUGUCUUACUAUUAGUAUAUAAGUGUUAACUAUUAAUGUCAAACAAAUCAGGUAAAUAUGUAAUUUUUCUGUCACACCUCAGAAACAAUACAAUAGCGCAACUCAAAGGACAGCUCAAAGGACAAAAACAAAUGUUGGACAGAUCUAGCACUGUUGCAGAGAAAACGACAGAGGCAACAUAUGAGAUUGCUUGGAUACUCGUGAGAAAGAAGAAGGCAGAUGCGGAGAUGAUCAAAUAAUGUUUUUUGGCCUCAGCCGAAAUAUUGCUUGCCGAUUUCACAAACAAGGAAGCUAUUUUGAAGCAAGUUAAGGGACUGCAACUCUCCGACUCGACCAUAACAAGACGUAUAGAAGACAUUGGUGAGGACAUCGGUAAGCAACUGAUUACUGACAUAUCCGUGGCGCCGUGUUUUAGUAUUGCGCUUUAUGAAAGCACUGAUGUAAGUGACAAUUAUGUGUUUGGAUCCGCUUCCCUCAAAAUGAGUCGUUCAGAGAGGAACUUUUAUGUUUACUGCCCCGUCAGGGACAAACACGAGAAGAGGAUAUUCUGAAAGCCCUCAAAUCUGGCAUCUGUGUGCACUGACGGCGCCCCAAACAUGCGAGGGAAGAAGAAGGGACUCAUAGGCCUGACGAGAAAGAGAAAGGAUAUUCCCGAAUUUGUUACGUUUCAUUGUAUCAUUCAUCAGGAAGCACUUGUGGCUAAGCUCAAAGACUGUGACUUACAGAAUGUGAUGCAGCAAGUCGUGUGUGUGGUGAACAUAAUUAUUGUGAGGGCACUGAAUCACCGGCAAUUCCGUGAGUUGCUGGAGGAAUACCAGACAGAAUACGGCAACUUGAUAUUCCACAAUGAGGUGAGAUGGCUGUCUCGUGGCAGAGUUUUGGAAAGAUUUCUCUCUCUUCCCUCAAAUCCGUGAAUUUGUUCCAAGCAAGGGGAGAGAGAAGCCAGAGCUGGAUGAUCCAAAGUGGAUAUUGUUGGGUUUUAUUUCACUUAUUAGAUGUGAUGCAUUACCUUUUACAGUAGAUGUAGGCCUAAGUAUGAACGGACUGUAAUGCACUAAGAGGUUUAUAUUGUAUUAACAUAGAUUGAGCAACAUAUAAUAGACAUGACUAACUGGAGGGUUGCUGGCUAGUAGGAGUGUAGGCUGAGUAGACUCUUGACACACACACACAAUGCCUGGUUGUGGGGCCGCUCAAGGACAGGUGUACGGGAGGGGCUGGUAGAAUGGAAGAUGGCUGUAGCGCAAAAGCAGAAACUGUCCUAACUGUAGCAUAAAAACAGGCACUGUCCUUGGGUGUCUGACUCUCGGGUACAUACAUGAAGAUAAGCUAGAAGACAACUAUGCUUGGCAACAAAGAUGCGUCUAGAGGCUGGGACCAGCCUGCACGCCAACGAUAGGAUGAGUAAGUUUAAACCACGCUCAUCCUCCCUCUGACAGGCCAGGUGUGAGCGGGAACUAUCUCUGUCAGAGUAUUUAAUGAAGAACUUAUGAUGUCAUUUUCAGUUCUCUGUUUGCCCUGCGAGGUGUUACAGUGAACCCGUAUAUACGAAGAUUGCAUUUACCAUUUAUUCUGCUUGACUAAUUCUAUUAAUAAACAGCUGAAAAUAUAUUCAGUAGCCUAGUGUUAAAUUUUGUUCUGAUACCAGAAUUGAAUUGACGCAGCCCUAACAAUUGGUGACCCCAAAUGUGAUUCUGGUAGAAGGACUUCGCUGGAACUUGUCCGGCCGAUUGGCCAUCGCUCUCGUCGGACGAUGUGUUUCACAAAUCCUGACCGGUCAAACAAAAGGUAAGCAGACACCUAUUGUGAAUAACUAAAGUUCUGCAUAUUGGCAUUAUCCAAAUUUAUUUUGUGAAGCACCUGUUUGAUGUAAGUGAUUAAAUUGUGGAACGUCCACCUGUUAUAUUAAUAAUUUGAUUUUGAAACAAUUUUGAGAGUUGUGGUGUGAUAAAUGCAAUCUUGAAACCGAUCGAUCAUUGAUGAUAUAACAAGUGAAUGUAAUGUACUAGGUAUUGAAGUACCAAGUGUGUAUGUGGUUAGUCGGCGUACUUAACCGGAAUGAGUGUGGGUGGAUGUAGGUAUAACAGCGAUUGUAAUGUACUAGGUAUUGAAGUACCAAGUUUGAGUGUGGCUGUCAAGUCUGGGACUGGUAGCAAGACUGAAUGAAGAUUGGGAGGUCAACCUAAUCGUAUGACUGAAGUACAUUAGAUACUAGUCGGCGUACUGUAUCAAGUGUGAAUUAUCUACGGAUAAAGGCGUUAUACUGAGUAACCAUUGAAUGACUGAAGUACAUUGGGUAUUAAGUCGGCGUACUAAUACCAAGUUUGAGUGACCUGCGGGUAAAUAAGAGGUCGGGGACGGUCGACCUGAGUUAUAUCAUCUAGCGCUGGGGAAAUAAAUAACGUUAGGAACGUACGUUAGAGACGUAAAUUGACAUUGAUAGUUAGGUUACCAUAGACUGAAAUUGAAAGGGAUGUAAAUUAACAUUGAUAGUUAGGUUACCAUAGACUGAAAUUGAAUAUGACCAACCAGGAGACCGAGAGGGUGCUGAAAGCACUGAAGUUAACACUAGAGAUUAAUGGGGGUAGAGACGGGAAAGAGUGGAAAAGGAGGGGGGAAAUUAUACAAGGAAUGGAUAAGAGAAGGUAGUAUUAAUGCACCCAACAGACUCCCAGUCGACGGGGAGCCCGGUAGAAUAUUGGAAACGCUAAAAUGAAAAACAGACAAAACCUGUUCCGAGUGGAAGCAGGAGGGGGAAGCGCGUAAAGGAAUUGCAGGAAUUUACGGGAGUUGAGCGAUACAUGGAGUUAAUUUUAUUUUACUGGGACGAUGCACAUUAAACACAGUUAUGUAUAAUGGCAGGGUAUUCCUAGCAAACAGAAUGGGCCUGUUUGCAGACAAACUGAAGGGGUUUUAAGGUUUUAAGCAAUCUUGGGUCAAAUUAGUCAAAUAGUACGUUAAAAUAUGGGGUUUCAUAGAUUGGAAGUAAAAUAUAUAAUCCAAGGGUAGUGUAUGUUCAAUUAAAGUACACAGAACCAUCGAGGAAGUUUAAAACAAAUGAUUAAUGAUUUGGGGAAGUACAGUGGAGUUAUUAUUAGGUUUUGUUUGUAGUUAACUUUUGGGGUUUUGAAUCGGUGUAGUAGGAUGAAAUGCUGACCAAGUGGUUGUAUUUUCUGGAAAAAGGAGCGUUUCAAAUUCCUAGGGACAGGAUAUCUUAAAGGGGUAUACACACAUAUGGAAUCUUAAAAGUUAUACACCCAUGGAAUCGUUGAGGUUUUGUUUUCUGAGUUUUAAUUAAAUACGUGAAAUUCUUUUGAUAGGGAAUGUUCUGGGAACCUGGGAUACAAAAUGUAGAUAAAGUUCUUUGCUUUCAUUUAUCUAAAGUAGUAAGAAACACGGUUCUGAAAGGGUGGUAUGACUUUUGACCCCUCUGGUGACUUUUCCUUUUGUGGUCUGAUCAGCCGCAAUGAAAAGCCAUUUGGAUGGUGAAUUUAAGGUCAUUUGUGAUACUGACUUUAAGGAAAUUUGUAGAACUGAUAAUUAUGAUGGAGUUAAAGUUCUUAGACGCAGUUGAUAAUUUGAACCAAUGAAAAGACUGAAUGACGAUAAGGGUACAAUAAUUUUUCUUUGUGGAGUAGUUCAGAUUAGUCAUUUUUGAUCUGAUUAUGUUAUUUGAACUCAUAAUGAUUUGUUUAGAUAUGCAGCAAUAUUGAUACAUGGCUUGAGCCAUGUAUAAAUAGGGGGAGUAUGGUAGGGCAGGCGAUAGAACAGGUUAGGAUAAUUACUUAACAACAUUUUUGUAGAAUAUCCUUUCCAACAUUUGGAAAUGGACUUAUUGAACUAUUCCCGAAUUGAGGGGAAGAAGGGGUGUUUAACAAUAACAGAUAAGUAUAGCAAAUGCGUAGAAGCGUUCCCAACUUACUUGGUGGACAUAAUUAUGGUAGCUAGAAUAUUAGGUCAAGAUAUUAUCCCUAGAGUUGGUUUACUGGGAUCUAUCUCUUUAAAUGAUGGAUGACAUUUUAGCUAAUCAGGUAGAGCCUAUAGAAUGCCAGAGUUAGAGAUACCAGAACAGGUAGACAUAGAAGUUGAAGCAAUACUAACAGAACACAUGAGAAGACUGUUUGUUAACCAAGAAUUUGUGUCCAACAGGUGAAUUACAGGAGAAGGUGAUUCACUCAAUCCAACCAAGAGACUGGGUGUGGAUCCAGUCCCUGAGGAGAAAAGACGGGAAGCAGCCCCGUGGGGAAGGCCCAUACCAGGUGCUGUUAAACCAUUGCCUUUGCCAUUAGAAAAGCUGAGAGUCACUUGGGUCCACGUUAUCCACUGCAAGAAGGUAUGUACACAUAUCCACUGCUGAUCACACACAGAGUUAGGAGAAGAACCGAGUACCAACAGGGUCCGGGGGUUACCUCCUUAACGAAGAUUUCCUAUCCCGACCGUUCAUCACUGUGUGUGCUCCUAGAGGUGUGAGUAUGGGGUGGUACCUAGCAGAGAGACUAAGGGCAGGAGAGGGUUGGCGGUUUUUGGGAAGAGUAGGGACUCUGAGCUGCAUCAUAGUCUAAUCUUUCUGAUACAUUCAGAUCCACCACCUUCUGGUACUAAUCAUACGAUACCGUUGUCAUUGAGAAGAAGUAGAAUAUAAAGUAUAUAAUACACUGAUGAGUGACUUACAGAAUAAGGAGUCAAAGAAGAUCAAGAUGUGGGAUUUAAGAUUCAUGAAUGAAACCGGGGAUGCAGUAAAGAGGUUCUCUGACCAAUUAUCCGCCACCUCCCUCAUGACCUGGUAAAAUAGACUGACUCUCGAUAUGUUACUGGCAAAGGAGGAUGGUGUAGGUAGAAUGAUUAGGUUCAUUGCUGUACGUACAUUCCUGAUAACACAGCCCAUGUUUGGGAAAUGGAAAAGUGUUGUAGGAACGGUAUUAUGGGCAGCUUUCACCUGUAUGAGUGUGUUUGGGUUGUUGUUUGGUCCCGUGUGCGAGAGGUCUCAUUUCCACGGUUCUGGAGAGAUCAAUAACGGAGCAGAUGGUGAGUUCAGACCAGUGGGACGACAACUACCUACCGCCGAGCCUGGUGGAGGAUUCAUUCAACUAUGAGGAGCCCAUGAUAAGAUGAGACCAUCUUUAGAGUUUCCUGAAUUAGUUUGAUUUUGUGUGAAAUUUCUGAAUCCAAAAAAAAUAGAUGUGUUAUAAUGUAUGUGAAAUAUUUAGCCAAUCGGGUGGAUAUAAUGAAAGGUUUGACUAAAAGAUUUCACUCAGAAACCUUAUAACCUGUUGAAAUGUAUUCGAAAUACAGCUAUAAUAAUGGGUUAAAAACUAUAUUCCAAUACUGUGUGAGUAAGACACUGUUACCAGAAUGAGCAGGGCAGAGUUGAUAAGACGACCUUGGGAAGGGAACAGGAGAAGAAGCCUCCCUAAGUUAGGGAGAGUAACAACGGCCUGGGAACGGCAGGUGGGCAGGAGAUUAGAAGACAGGUGGCAAGGUUGUUAAGGAAUGUAUGUGUACUGUGGGAAAAAUACAGCCGCCUAAAGCUGGGUUGAGUUCUUUACUGAUGUGUGUGUAACAGAGAUUUGUUAACUAUACUCGCACUGCACUGACAGGUAUGGCUGAGCAACUAGAGGCUACCACUAGAACCACUAGACAAAAUAGAUUGGAGUUGGAUAUGAUAUUGGCUAAUAAUGGGGGGUGUAUAAAACGUUUGGUGAACAAUGCUGUACUUUUAUCCCUAAUAACACUAGCCCUGAUGGUAAGCAUUACCAAAGCCCUACUGGAACUUGAAAAGCUAUCUGCUGAAAUGAAGGGUGUAGCAGGGGUAUACGAGGGGAAUUGGCUGAACAUCUUUUUUGGUAAGUACACAUCUAUGGUGGUUACUGGAUUUCUGACCCUAGUGCUUGUGUUCUUAUUAUUGUUGUGUUGUGUUGCCUGUAUAAUCCCUUGCUUGAGAAAAUAUCUUACAGAAGUUGUCAGAGCAACCGGAAUGAUGUCUUUGAUGGAAGUGACCCCAGUGGAUACUGAAUCAACCUCUAGGCAAAAGACGGGUCUGUCUGAGGACGAUCCUUGGUUUGCUGUUGGGGAAAUGGUUGAAUAAAGCUUAUCCAAAAUGUUCUCAUAUGUAUUGAAUGUAGUGGCAGGUGGAUGUGAAGGUUUUAAGUACUGGGACAAAAAGUCUGUCCCAUACAUGUUAGGUGUAGCCACUGUCGCAAAAAGGUCUUCUUUUUAUACGUUUUUUAAAUAAUAUGUUCUGAAUUUAUCUUGUGUACUAUUUGUCUUUCCUUAUGUGAAGGUUUGAAGUUCCUGGGUGGCUGGUAGUCAACCUAGUACAAGUGAGGUGUAGCCGGAAGGACUUGAGGGUUUUUUAACUAAUCAUCUAAUCAUUAAAAUGGGAAUUAAAAAUUGUGUUGAGUGACACCCUAGGGGGUGUCAAAAGGGGGAAUCUCAAAAUUUCCCUGACAUUUUAAGAACUUAUAUAUUCACACUUAUCAGGUGUGAAAAGGGGGAUUGUUGGGUUUUAUUUCACUUAUUAGAUGUGAUGCAUUACCUUUUACAGUAGAUGUAGGCCUAAGUAUGAACGGACUGUAAUGCACUAAGAGGUUUAUAUUGUAUUAACAUAGAUUGAGCAACAUAUAAUAGACAUGACUAACUGGAGGGUUGCUGGCUAGUAGGAGUGUAGGCUGAGUAGACUCUUGACACACACACACAAUGCCUGGUUGUGGGGCCGCUCAAGGACAGGUGUACGGGAGGGGCUGGUAGAAUGGAAGAUGGCUGUAGCACAAAAGCAGAAACUGUCCUAACUGUAGCAUAAAAACAGGCACUGUCCUUGGGUGUCUGACUCUCGGGUACACACAUGAAGAUAAGCUAGAAGACAACUAUGCUUGGCAACAAAGAUGCGUCUAGAGGCUGGUACCAGCCUGCACGCCAACGAUAGGAUGAGUAAGUUUAAACCACGCUCAUCCUCCCUCUGACAGGCCAGGUGUGAGCGGGAACUAUCUCUGUCAGAGUAUUUAAUGAAGAACUUAUGAUGUCAUUUUCAGUUCUCUGUUUGCCCUGCGAGGUGUUACAGUGAACCCGUAUAUACGAAGAUUGCAUUUACCAUUUAUUCUGCUUGACUAAUUCUAUUAAUAAACAGCUGAAAAUAUAUUCAGUAGCCUAGUGUUAAAUUUUGUUCUGAUACCAGAAUUGAAUUGACGCAGCCCUAACAAUAUUAAAGCUGGCUUUUUAAACUGACAUUACCUGCCACCUGAACACGGUGAAUAUCCAGCUCCAAGGGAAAGCUACAUCUCUGGGCAAAAUGCUGCGUGUGGUCACAACAUUUCAAAAUAAAACCAUCUCACUGUUCAUACCUGACAGACAGUUUGUUCAUUUCCCAAAACUCAGAGCAGUCCCCACAUCCAACCCAGACAUACUGCAACAUUUUAGCUAUGAUGCAUUUGUGCGUGUGUUGGAAGAGUUGGAGUUUGAGUCAAGAUUCAAGGAUAUCAUGGAGUACAAGGAGUUUUUGAGGACCCCUUUCAUGUGCCAGUGUCAUCUCUGACCCCAGUCAUCACAGCCCUCUGUCUUGACCGUGCUGGCAUAGAGAGUGAGAUAGUAGAGCUGCAGGCAAAUUACAUAUUGUAAGGUGAACUAAGAUCAGGUGUUACCCAUUUCUGGUGCCCUGUGUCAGACACAGAGUAUCCACUUCUGAAGCACUGCGUGCAAAAGGUGACAUUUUGUCAGCACUUACUCAUGUGAAGCAACAUGUUCAACAAUUUCAAACAAAAACAGUGAGACAGACUGACUAAUGCACACCUGGAUUGCCUCACAAGGAUACCAACAACAAACUAUACAUUUAGAAUGAAUUCAGUCAAGGAGCAGAAGGGACAUUUUCAAUCAUCCAACUACUGAGGUAACCCUUAAUAUGGGUCUAAUACAUGUGAUGUAGCCUAUUUGAUGUGUGUAUGUAUAUAUUUGUGAUGUGCUGUACCUCAAAUAAAUUACAUGUGUUCUAUUGCUCUGAAUUUGCUCUCAAUUGAUAAUUGCUAAUAUUGGAAGAUAAAUUACAACAAAUUAAAGAUCGGUGCGGCCCUCUGAAUGAUUGUCUCAACCCAACGUGGCCCCCUUACAAAAAAUAGUGAGUAACACGGCUGUAACACAGCAAAAUGUGGAAUAAAUCAAGAGGUAUGAAUACUU